GACGAACGCUGGCGGCGCGCUUAACACAUGCAAGUCGAACGGAAAGGCCUGCUUUCCCUUGUGGAUUGCGGGUACUCGAGUGGCGAACGGGUGAGUAACACGUGAGUGAUCUGCCCCCAACUUGGGUAUAAGCCUGGGAAACUGGGUCUAAUUCUCGAUAGGACUGCAGGGUGGUGCCUGUGGUGGAAAACGAUUUUCUAGUGGUUGGGGAUGAGCUCGCGGCCUAUCAGCUUGUUGGUGGGGUAAUGGCCUACCAAGGCGGCGACGGGUAGCCGGCCUGAGAGGGUCGACGGCCACAUUGGGACAGAGACACGGCCCAGACGCCUACGGGAGGCAGCAGUGCGGCAUAUUACACAAUGGGCGGAAGCCUGAUGCAGCGACGCAGCGUGGGGGAUGACGGCCUUCGGGUUGUAAACUCCUUGCGACCGCGAGGAAGCCACGUGGUUGGAAGGGUGGUGACGGUAGUGGUAGAGGAAGCACCGGCUAACUACGUG
rnacentral:rRNA from 1 species